CCUACGGGGGGCUGCAGUGAGGAAUAUUGGUCAAUGGACGAGAGUCUGAACCAGCCAAGUAGCGUGAAGGAUGACUGCCCUAUGGGUUGUAAACUUCUUUUAUAUGGGAAUAAAAUGUUCCACGUGUGGGAUUUUGUAUGUACAAUAUGAAUUAGGAUCGGCUAACUCCGUGCCAGAAGCCGCGGUAAUACGGAGGAUCCGAGCGUUAUCCGGAUUUAUUGGGUUUAAAGGGAGCGUAGGUGGAUUGUUAAGUCAGUUGUGAAAGUUUGCGGCUCAACCGUAAAAUGGCAGUUGAAACUGGCAGUCUUGAGUACAGUAGAGGAGAGUGGAAUUCGUGGUGUAGCGGUGAAAUGCGUAGAUAUCACGAAGAACUCCGAUGGCGAAGGCAGGUCACUGGACUGCAACUGACACUGAGGCGCGAAAGUGUGGGUAUCAAACAGGAUUAGAUACCCUAGUAGUC
rnacentral:rRNA from 1 species